GAUGAACGCUGACAGAAUGCUUAACACAUGCAAGUCUUUGGCAAAGCUGUGCUUGCACAGCCAAGCCAAGGCGGACGGGUGAGUAACGCGUAAAGAACUUGCCCCGCAGACAGGGAUAACAGACGGAAACGACUGAUAAAACCUGAUAUAAUUGCCGGUACGCAUGUGCCCGGCAAUGAAAAGAGAUGCUGCGGGAGAGCUUUGCGUCCUAUUAGCUGGUUGGCGGGGUAACGGCCCACCAAGGCGAUGAUAGGUAGCCGGCCUGAGAGGGUGAACGGCCACAAGGGGACUGAGAUACGGCCCUUACUCCUACGGGAGGCAGCAGUGGGGAAUAUUGGACAAUGGGGGCAACCCUGAUCCAGCAAUUCUGUGUGCACGAAGAAGGUUUUCGGAUUGUAAAGUGCUUUCAGCAGGGAAGAAGAGAAUGACGGUACCUGCAGAAGAAGCGACGGCUAAAUACGUGCCAGCAGCCGCGGUAAUACGUAUGUCGCAAGCGUUAUCCGGAAUUAUUGGGCAUAAAGGGCAUCUAGGCGGCCCUAUAAGUCUAGGGUGAAAACCUGCGGCUCAACCGCAGGCCUGCCCCGGAAACUAUAGGGCUGGAGUACUGGAGAGGUGGACGGAACUACACGAGUAGAGGUGAAAUUCGUAGAUAUGUGUAGGAAUGCCGAUGAUGAAGAUAGUUCACUGGACGGUAACUGACGCUGAAGUGCGAAAGCUGGGGGAGCAAACAGG
rnacentral:rRNA from 1 species